AAAGAAUUAGUUAAUAAAUAACAUUAGAAUGUCAAACUAAAAUAAUAAAUGUUUUAUAUUCUUUA
rnacentral:tRNA from 1 species